rnacentral:tRNA from 5 species
GGAAGGCAUUCGUAUCCGGUGGUACGGCUGGACUUCAAAUCCAGUUGGGGGUGUCAGACACUCCCGGGUCGGUUCGACUCCGGCUGCCUUCCGCCA